rnacentral:rRNA from 1 species
UGCCGGGGCACUCUGGAAGGACUGCCAUCGACAAGAUGGAGGAAGGUGGGGAUGACGUCAAGUCAUCAUGGCCCUUAUGUCCAGGGCGACACACGUGCUACAAUGGCCGGCACAACGGGAAGCGAGUUCGCGAGGACGAGCGGAUCCUCAAAGACCGGUCGCAGUUCGGAUUGAAGUCUGCAACUCGACUUCAUGAAGCUGGAAUCGCUAGUAAUCGUGGAUCAGCCAAGCCGCGGUGAAUACGUUCCCGGGCCUU